CUCGCUAAGGGCCGUCGGAGACGACGACGUUGAUAGGCCGCAGGUGCACGUAUGGUGACAUACUCAGCCGAGCGGUACUAAUUGCCCGAACGCUUCGUA
rnacentral:rRNA from 1 species